GUAGGGUGCGAGCGUUAAUCGGAAUGACUGGGCGUAAAGGGUGCGCAGGCGGUUUGUAAAGACGGAUGUGAAAGCCCCGGGCUCAACCUGGGAAUAGCAUACGUGACUGGCAGACUAGAAUAUAGCAGAGGGAGGUGGAAUUCCACGUGUAGCAGUGAAAUGCGUAGAGAUGUGGAGGAACACCGAUGGCGAAGGCAGCCUCCUGGGCCAAUAUUGACGCUCAGGCACGAAAGCGUGGGGAGCAAACAGGAUUAGAUACCCUGGUAGUCCACGCCCUAAACGAUGUCAACUAGUUGUUGGGGAAGACUUUCCUUAGUAACGUAGCUCACGCGUGAAGUUGACCGCCUGGGGAGUACGGUCGCAAGAUUA
rnacentral:rRNA from 1 species